rnacentral:rRNA from 1 species
UAGGGAAUAUUAGAAAUGGACGAAAGUCUGAUCUAGCAACACCGCGUGUGCGAAGAAGGCCUUCGGGUCGUAAAGCACUUUUUGGAAGGAAUAGGAAGGAAUGUACUUCCAGAAUAAGUCUCGGCUAACUACGUGCCAGCAGCCGCGGUAACACGUAGGAGGCAAACGUUAUCCGGAUUUACUGGGCGUAAAGCGCGUGUAGGUGGUACUGUAAGUAGGGCGUGAAAGCUCCUGGCUCAACUGGGAGAGGCCGUUCUAAACUACAGAACUAGAGGAUGGUAGAGGGAGGUGGAAUUCCAGGUGUAGCGGUGGAAUGCGCAGAUAUCCGGAGGAACACCAGUGGCGAAAGCGGCCUCCUGGACCAUUCCUGACACUCAGACGCGAAAGCUAGGGUAGCAAACA